CCUAAGGCCACUUUGCACUUCAGUACCUGCUCUGCUCUCUUUCUCAGUGGGACUCUGGAACUGCCAGUCAGCUGUGAACAAAGCUGACUUCAUUCCAGCCUUUGCCACACAGUCCACCCUCAGCAUCCUGACACUGACAGAAACAUGGAUACGUCCAGAGGAUACAGCAACACCUGCUGCUCUCUCCAACAACUUCUCCUUCUCUCACACCCCUCAACACACCGGUAGGGGUGGGGGAACAGGUUUGCUCAUUCAUAACAACUGGACUUUUUCACCACACUCUUCACUAUGUAACAAUACUAGUUUUGAAUUCCAUGCUAUUACUACAGUGCAACCCACAAAAAUACAUGUUGUCAUCUAUUGCCCUCUAGGUCAGCUGACAAACUUUCUUGAGGAGUUGGAUGUCCGCUGUCCUCCUUGCCAGAGGAUGGAAGGCCACUUGUGGUUCUUGGUGAUUUCAACAUGCACCAAGACAAGCCCCAGGCCACUGAACUGAAUACUCUCCUGGCCUCAUUUGACUUGGAAAGACUACACACCACAGCAACUCACAGAUCGGGCAACCAGCUGGACCUCAUUUUUACACGCCAGUACGUGCUACACCUCCCAGCCCCUGGCUGUCUGACGUCCUUCGUGAACAUCGGACUGACCUCAGGGCAGCUGAGAGGAGACUGCGGAAAUCUAAAGAUCCAGCAGAUCUAGAACAUGCUGCUGGAUGACAGUCAGUCAGGUUUCAAAAGUGGACACUCCACCGAGACUGCCCUGCUGUCUGUCACUGAGUCGCUGAGACGGGCGAAAGCUGAAUCCAGAUCAUCCGUCCUGAUUCUGCUGGACCUUUCUGCAGCCUUUGACACAGUCAACCAUCAGAUCUUACUCUCUACCCUCUCCUUGCUGGGCAUCACAGGGACUGUGCUUGACUGGUUUAACUUCUAUCUCUCAGCCCAACGACACCACAGUGACUGCUCGAAUUUCUGCCUGCCUGGCAGACAUCUCGGCCUGGAUGAAGGAGCACCACCUACAACUCAACCCAGCCAAGACUGAACUCCUUGUCUUUCCAGCCAACCCUGCUGUUGAACACAACAUCACUGUGCAGCUGGGUGUUACUACAGUAACGCCUUCCAAAUCGGUCAGAAAUCUAGGGGUAACCAUUGACAACAGACUAAAUUUCACAGACCACAUCUCAAAGAAUGCAAGAUCAUGUAGAUUUACACUCUACAAUAUCAGGAAGAUAAGACCCUUCCUCUCUGAACAUGCCACACAACUGCUUGUCCAGUCACUUGUCAUAACUAGACUGGACUACUGUAACGCUCUCAUUGCAGGCCUCCCUGCAUGUGCAAUUAGACCCCUGCAAAUGAUCCAGAAUGCAGCUGCACGUGAACCAAAGAGAGCGCAUGUUACACCACUCCUUGUCUCUCUCCACUGGCUGCCGGUUGAUGCACGUAUCAAAUUCAAGGUUCUGAUGCUGGCAUACAGAACAGUCACUGGGUCUGCUCCAGCAUACCUAAAAUCAUUUGUGCAGAGCUAUGCGCCCACUAGAAGCCUGCGGUCAGCUAAGGAACGUCGCCUUGUUGUACCAACACAAAGAGGCACCAGAACACUUUCCCGGACAUUCAGCUUCAUCAUACCACAUUGGUGGAACGACCUUCCCAACUCCAUCCGUGAAGCUGACUCACUCUCUGUCUUCAAAAAAUGACUAAAAACACAUCUUUUCCAUGAGCACUUAACCAGUCAUUAAAAAAUAAAAUAAAUAAAUUUGAAUACUAUUCUGAUGCUAGUGAAACUUUGUAAUACGGAAC